ACCUACUCUUGACAUCCAGAGAACUUAGCAGAGAUGCUUUGGUGCCUUCGGGAACUCUGAGACAGGUGCUGCAUGGCCGUCGUCAGCUCGUGUUGUGAAAUGUUGGGUUAAGUCCCGCAACGAGCGCAACCCUUAUCCUUUGUUGCCAGCGGUUAGGCCGGGAACUCAAAGGAGACUGCCAGUGAUAAACUGGAGGAAGGUGGGGAUGACGUCAAGUCAUCAUGGCCCUUACGAGUAGGGCUACACACGUGCUACAAUGGCGCAUACAAAGAGAAGCGACCUCGCGAGAGCAAGCGGACCUCAUAAAUGUCUCUAGUCCGGAUUGGAGUCUGCAACUCGACUCCAUGAAGUCGGAAUCGCUAGUAAUCGUA
rnacentral:rRNA from 1 species